rnacentral:misc_RNA from 1 species
CUAAGGAGCACUUCUACACAGCAUCUCGAAUAGUCGAGAGUGGUUGUGUCAGAGACCGUUUGUGUCCCCAUGUGAGGGACCGCGGACGCUCAUGGGUGGAACGCUGACAGCUUCUUCUCACCGUCGUGGAUCCUGAGUGGUCCGCGGAGGAGAUAUAUCGACACACUGUUGGGUCCUGAAAGAACACGCGAGUGUUUCUUUCGAGGCAAAGUAAUACGAUCCGUUCGGUCUCUUGUGAUACCGGCUUCUUCGGGAGUGCUGGUCCUGGGUUGGAUUCGAGUGGGUGUGUUGUUUGAGAACUGCACAGUGGACGCGAGCAUCUUUGUUUGUAAGUGUUUAAGGGCGUUC